UACGUAGGGGGCAAGCGUUGUCCGGAAUCAUUGGGCGUAAAGAGCGUGUAGGCGGCCAGAAAAGUCCGCUGUGAAAACUCGAGGCUCAACUUCGAGCUGUCGGUGGAAACUUUCUGGCUAGAGUCCGGAAGAGGAGAAUGGAAUUCCUGGUGUAGCAGUGAAAUGCGCAGAUAUCAGGAGGAACACCAAUGGCGAAGGCAGCUCGCUGGGAACGGUACUGACGCUGAGACGCGAAAGCGUGGGGAGCGAACAGG
rnacentral:rRNA from 1 species